rnacentral:rRNA from 1 species
ACUCCUACGGGAGGCAGCAGUGGGGAAUAUUGCACAAUGGGCGCAAGCCUGAUGCAGCCAUGCCGCGUGUGUGAAGAAGGCCUCGGGUUGUAAAUGCAGCUACAGUCGUGAGCAGGUAGUGUAGUUAAUAGCUGCAUUAUUUGACGUUAGCGACNGAAGAAGCACCGGCUAACUCCGUGCCAGCAGCCGCGGUAAUACGGAGGGUGCGAGCGUUAAUCGGAAUUACUGGGCCGUAAAGCGCAUGCAGGUGGUUUGUUAAGUCAGAUGUGAAAGCCCG